CCUACGUGAGGCAGCAGUAGGGAAUCUUCCACAAUGGGCGAAAGCCUGAUGGAGCAACGCCGCGUGGGUGAAGAAGGUCUUCGGAUCGUAAAACCCUGUUGUUAGAGAAGAAAGUGCGUGAGAGUAACUGUUCACGUUUCGACGGUAUCUAACCAGAAAGCCACGGCUAACUACGUGCCAGCAGCCGCGGUAAUACGUAGGUGACAAGCGUUAUCCGGAUUUAUUGGGCGUAAAGGGAACGCAGGCGGUCUUUUAAGUCUGAUGUGAAAGCCUUCGGCUUAACCGGAGUAGUGCAUUGGAAACUGGGAGACUUGAGUGCAGAAGAGGAGAGUGGAACUCCAUGUGUAGCGGUGAAAUGCGUAGAUAUAUGGAAGAACACCAGUGGCGAAAGCGGCUCUCUGGUCUGUAACUGACGCUGAGGUUCGAAAGCGUGGGUAGCAAACAGGAUUAGAUACCCUUGUAGUC
rnacentral:rRNA from 1 species